rnacentral:tRNA from 1 species
GCGCUCGUAGCUCAGUUGGAUAGAGCGAUUGACUUCGAAUCAAUAGGUCGGGAGUUCGAGCCUCUCCGGGCGCACCA